CCUACGGGGGGCAGCAGUGAGGAAUAUUGGUCAAUGGACGAGAGUCUGAACCAGCCAAGUAGCGUGAAGGAUGACUGCCCUAUGGGUUGUAAACUUCUUUUAUAUGGGAAUAAAACGUUCCACGUGUGGGAUUUUGUAUGUACCAUAUGAAUAAGGAUCGGCCAAAUCCGUGCCAGCAGCCGCGGUAAUACGGAGGAUCCGAGCGUUAUCCGGAUUUAUUGGGUUUAAAGGGAGCGUAGGUGGAUUGUUAAGUCAGUUGUGAAAGUUUGCGGCUCAACCGUAAAAUUGCAGUUGAAACUGGCAGUCUUGAGUACAGUAGAGGUGGGCGGAAUGCGUGGUGUAGCGGUGAAAUGCUUAGAUAUCACGAAGAACUCCGAUUGCGAAGGCAGUUCACUGGACUGCAACUGACACUGAGGCUCGAAAGUGUGGGUAUCAAACAGGAUUAGAUACCCCUGUAGUC
rnacentral:rRNA from 1 species